rnacentral:rRNA from 1 species
GUGGCGCACGGGUGCGUAACGCGUGGGAAUCUGCCCUUAGGUACGGAAUAACUCAGAGAAAUUUGUGCUAAUACCGUAUGAUGUCGAAAGACCAAAGAUUUAUCGCCUAAGGAUGAGCCCGCGUAAGAUUAGCUUGUUGGUGAGGUAAAAGCUCACCAAGGCGACGAUCUUUAGCUGGUCUGAGAGGAUGAUCAGCCACACUGGGACUGAGACACGGCCCAGACUCCUACGGGAGGCAGCAGUGGGGAAUAUUGGACAAUGGGCGAAAGCCUGAUCCAGCAAUGCCGCGUGAGUGAUGAAGGCCUUAGGGUUGUAAAGCUCUUUUACCAGGGAUGAUAAUGACAGUACCUGGAGAAUAAGCUCCGGCUAACUCCGUGCCAGCAGCCGCGGUAAUACGGAGGGAGCUAGCGUUGUUCGGAAUUACUGGGCGUAAAGCGUACGUAGGCGGUUAUUCAAGUCAGAGGUGAAAGCCUGGAGCUCAACUCCAGAACUGCCUUUGAAACUAGAUAGCUAGAAUCUUGGAGAGGUGAGUGGAAUUCCGAGUGUAGAGGUGAAAUUCGUAGAUAUUCGGAAGAACACCAGUGGCGAAGGCGACUCACUGGACAAGUAUUGACGCUGAGGUACGAAAGCGU